AGGGAAUUAUUGGUGAAUGUUUGUGAUCUACAAGUGCAACUCUGGUGUUCCAAGAAAUUCCAUGUUUGGUGUGCUAGUGGCAAGUGCAGCUCUGGUGCUUCAAGAAAUUCCAUGUUUAGUGAAUGUUGUGAUCUGCAGCUCUCUUUGUUAAAAGGUUGGAUCGGAUGGUAUGUAUUGGUGGCUAGGGGACCUGGCUGAGGUCGCUCCUCUCUGUGUAUGCUACAAUGGUUUUCUCAUCCAGCAAUCAAGAAAACAAACCAUUGUGUCUCGAGUAUGGGUAACGAAAAUGCGAAGGUAUAGAAUUGGUGGUGGUGUCUUCUGGUUUGUAAUGACGAAUCAAACCAUAUCCAUUUUUAAGUAUUGAGCACUGCAGAAUUGAUCAACUUGGAUUUGGUUGGAAGCAUCUGAUGCAAUCAUUUUAUUUACAACAAAAAAUAAUUUGAUCCUUGCAAGGAAGGACAUUGAUUUCCCAUUAUGUGAAAUUGAAAACGGGUUUCAUCAGAGAUCUGCCCCUUCAUCAUCUCUGAUGAAGUUUGACUAUGGAGGAGCAAGUUCUAGUCUCACUAUUUGCCUUUCAGAACUUUGUUUGGCCAUACUUUUCAUUUAAUGAAAUCUCUUAUAUUUU